rnacentral:rRNA from 1 species
UACGGGGGGAGCAAGCGUUGUUCGGAUUUACUGGGCGUAAAGGGCGCGUAGGCGGCGUGACAAGUCACUUGUGAAAUCUCCGGGCUUAACUCGGAACGGUCAAGUGAUACUGUCGUGCUAGAGUACAGAAGGGGCAACUGGAAUUCCUGGUGUAGCGGUGGAAUGCGCAGAUAUCAGGAGGAACACCGAUGGCGAAGGCAGGUCACUGGGCCGCAACUGACGCUGAGGAGCGAAAGCAUGGGGAGCGAACAGG